ACCACCCGAAACUAGGCGAGCUACUCUAAAACAAUUACAGAACUAACCCAUCCCUGUUACAAAAGGGUGGGAUGAUUUUAAAGUAGAGGUGACACACCUAUCGAGCCCAGAAAUAGCUGGUUAUUCAAAAGACGGAUCUAAGUCCAACUUUAAGCUUUUUUAGUAACACUAAACACCCACAAACUUAAAAGCCAUUCAAAUAAGGUACAGCCUAUUUGAACAAGGAAACAACCUACAAUAUAGGGUAAUGAAUAUAUACAUGACUAAGUAGGCCUAAGAGCAGUCAACUUUCAAAAAGCGUCUAAGCAUCAUCACAAACAUCCACAAUUCCACAAUCUACCCAAAACCCACAACCACCACUGAAUGACCCCAUACCUGUAUGGUAAACAUUAUGCUAGAACUAGUAACAAGAAAAUGAACUUCUCCAAAAUGCAAGCGUAAGCCAAAAUGAACCUAUCACCGGCAAUCACCGCUACCACAGUACCAACCCUCACAAGAAAACUCUACUAUACCAAGCGCUAACCUUACACCAGA
rnacentral:rRNA from 1 species